AUGAAAGGUGAAAUCAACAAGUCGGAUCUGGUUAAGAAUAUGUUUGGUAUAUUCUGCAAAAACAAGCAAUGGACAUGGCAGAUCAGAUCACUGUCAGAGAAGUAGUUCCUGGUCAGAUUCCCACCCUGGAAAUUUGAAGAACUAAUUGAAUUUCCUGCCUUCGAUUUGCCCAUCGAUGGAGUCUCUGUGUCUGUUGAAAAGUGGACCGGUGCAAUUGACCCAUUCAGCGAGCUUACUGAAGCCUGGGUUGUCGUUGAGGGGCUGUCGUCUAAAUGGUGCACAUGGAAGGUCCUGUCUCAGAUUGCUUCCUGCUUUGGAAUCCUUGUGGAUGUAGAUUGGAAUGGCCAGAUGAAGAGCUUUUAUGGGAAAGUGAGAGUCAAAAUUGCUUGCAGGGACCCAACUAAGAUCCCCUUCGAACGGAUCAUGGAGAUGAGGAAAAAACUCUAUAUCUUAUCCUUUACAGUGGAAGCUUUUGACCAAGUAGGGGCUGAUGAUCCUAAUGAUGACGAUGGACCUACUGACAUAACUUUGGACGAUGACAACAAGGCAAUUGACGAUGAGGAGCUGGAUAAGGACAUCCUAGAUAAUGGAGAGGAACCCAUUGAUGACCUGGACCUUGCCAAUAGGGCCCCCACAAAAACUCCAGCUGGGAAGAAAACAACUGAUGAUGGUGCUACAUUCCAUCCCCUUGCUCUGUUAGAGGCAUGUAUUACUCCUGCGGGAGUUAAUAAGAAGAAUGAAGAAGAAACUAAGGCCCAGAGCAUGUGCUCUUCGAUACCCUUCUCUGAGGCUAUCAAAAUCCUUAGUUCUACCCACAACAAGACAGGCCAGUAUGCUUGCUGCAUCAUCAAGUGGUAA
rnacentral:rRNA from 1 species